GCCCUCGUAGCUCAGCAGGAUAGAGCAGCGGCUUCCUAAGCCGAAGGUCGCACGUUCGAAUCGUGCCGGGGGUGCCA
rnacentral:tRNA from 1 species